rnacentral:tRNA from 1 species
GGGUGCGUAGCUCAGUGGUAGAGCAGAUGACUGCAGAUCAUCGGGUCCAUGGUUCGACUCCGUGCGUGCCCU